ACGUUGUUGUGACCGUUAUAAUGGGCAUAUCAAGCACCAAUGCAAUCAUAAUGCCUACUGUAGCGUUUACAACAAUG
rnacentral:pre_miRNA from 1 species